rnacentral:tRNA from 1 species
AUUUAUAUAGUUUAAAAAAAACCUAGUAUUUUCAUUACUAAAUUGAAUUUUAUUCUAUAAAUA